rnacentral:rRNA from 1 species
CGACGGGUGAGUAACACGUAUGCAAUCCACCUGUAACAGGGGAUAACCCGGAGAAUCCGGACUAAUACCCAUAAUAUGGGCGCUCCGCAUGGAGAGUCCAUUAAAGAGAGCAAUCUUGGUUACAGACGAGCAUGCGCUCCAUUAGCCAGUUGGCGGGGUAACGGCCCACCAAGGCGACGAUGGAUAGGGGUUCUGAGAGGAAGGUCCCCCACAUUGGAACUGAGACACGGUCCAA